rnacentral:rRNA from 1 species
AUGAACGCUAGCGACAGGCCUAACACAUGCAAGUCGAGGGGCAUCGGGGUGUAGCAAUACGCUGCCGGCGACCGGCGGAUGGGUGAGUAACGCGUAUGCAACCUGCCUUCAGCAGGGGAUAGCCCGUUGAAAGACGGAUUAAUACCCCGUAACACAGGGGCUCCGCAUGGAGAUUAUUGUUAAAGGGAUGCUUCCUUCGGGGAGUAUUCCGGCUGAAGAUGGGCAUGCGUUCCAUUAGGUAGUUGGUUGAGGUAACGGCUCACCAAGCCUGCGAUGGAUAGGGGAACUGAGAGGUUGGUCCCCCACACUGGUACUGAGACACGGACCAGACUCCUACGGGAGGCAGCAGUGAGGAAUCUUGGUCAAUGGACGGAAGUCUGAACCAGCCAUGUCGCGUGAAGGAGGACGGCCCUAAGGGUUGUAAACUUCUUUUGCAGGGGAAUAAAGUAUUCCACGAGAUGGGAUAUUGCAAGUACGCUGCGAAUAAGGAUCGGCUAACUCCGUG